rnacentral:rRNA from 1 species
CCUACGGGCGGCAGCAGUGAGGAAUAUUGGGCAAUGGAGGCAACUCUGACCCAGCCAUGCCGCGUGAGUGAAGAAGGUUUUCGGAUUGUAAAGCUCUUUCGGAUGUGACGAUGAUGACGGUAGCAUCUAAAGAAGCCCCGGCUAACUUCGUGCCAGCAGCCGCGGUAAUACGAAGGGGGCAAGCGUUGUUCGGAAUUACUGGGCGUAAAGGGAGUGUAGGCGGUUUAGUAAGAUAGUGGUGAAAUCCCAGAGCUUAACUUUGGAAUUGCCAUUAUAACUAUUAGACUAGAAUUACAGAGAGGAUAGUGGAAUACCCAGUGUAGAGGUGAAAUGCAUAGAUAUCACGCAGAACUCCGAUUGCGAAGGCAGCAUACCGGCGCCCGACUGACGCUGAGGCACGAAAGCGUGGGGAUCGAACAGGAUUAGAUACCCGGGUAGUC